rnacentral:rRNA from 1 species
GACGAACCGUGCGAACGUUGUUCGGAAUCACUGGGCAUAAAGGGCGCGUAGGCGGCUUUUCAAGUCAGGGGUGAAAUCCGGCAGCUUAACUGUCGAAGUGCCCUUGAUACUGAUGAGCUCGAGGGAGGUAGGGGUAUGUGGAACUUCCGGUGGAGCGGUGAAAUGCGUUGAUAUCGGAAGGAACGCCGGUGGCGAAAGCGACGUACUGGACCUCUUCUGACGCUGAGGCGCGAAAGCUAGGGUAGCAAACGGG